rnacentral:rRNA from 1 species
AUUGAACGCUGGCGGCAGGCCUAACACAUGCAAGUCGAGCGGUAGCACAGAGAGCUUGCUCUCGGGUGACGAGCGGCGGACGGGUGAGUAAUGUCUGGGAAACUGCCUGAUGGAGGGGGAUAACUACUGGAAACGGUAGCUAAUACCGCAUAACGUCGCAAGACCAAAGUGGGGGACCUUCGGGCCUCAUGCCAUCAGAUGUGCCCAGAUGGGAUUAGCUAGUAGGUGGGGUAAUGGCUCACCUAGGCGACGAUCCCUAGCUGGUCUGAGAGGAUGACCAGCCACACUGGAACUGAGACACGGUCCAGACUCCUACGGGAGGCAGCAGUGGGGAAUAUUGCACAAUGGGCGCAAGCCUGAUGCAGCCAUGCCGCGUGUGUGAAGAAGGCCUUCGGGUUGUAAAGCACUUUCAGCGGGGAGGAAGGCGAUAAGGUUAAUAACCUCAUCGAUUGACGUUACCCGCAGAAGAAGCACCGGCUAACUCCGUGCCAGCAGCCGCGGUAAUACGGAGGGUGCAAGCGUUAAUCGGAAUUACUGGGCGUAAAGCGCACGCAGGCGGUCUGUCAAGUCGGAUGUGAAAUCCCCGGGCUCAACCUGGGAACUGCGUUCGAAACUGGCAGGCUAGAGUCUUGUAGAGGGGGGUAGAAUUCCAGGUGUAGCGGUGAAAUGCGUAGAGAUCUGGAGGAAUACCGGUGGCGAAGGCGGCCCCCUGGACAAAGACUGACGCUCAGGUGCGAAAGCGUGGGGAGCAAACAGGAUUAGAUACCCUGGUAGUCCACGCCGUAAACGAUGUCGAUUUGGAGGUUGUGCCCUUGAGGCGUGGCUUCCGGAGCUAACGCGUUAAAUCGACCGCCUGGGGAGUACGGCCGCAAGGUUAAAACUCAAAUGAAUUGACGGGGCCCGCACAAGCGGUGGAGCAUGUGGUUUAAUUCGAUGCAACGCGAAGAACCUUACCUGGUCUUGACAUCCACAGAACUUUCCAGAGAUGGAUUGGUGCCUUCGGGAACUGUGAGACAGGUGCUGCAUGGCUGUCGUCAGCUCGUGUUGUGAAAUGUUGGGUUAAGUCCCGCAACGAGCGCAACCCUUAUCCUUUGUUGCCAGCGGUCCGGCCGGGAACUCAAAGGAGACUGCCAGUGAUAAACUGGAGGAAGGUGGGGAUGACGUCAAGUCAUCAUGGCCCUUACGACCAGGGCUACACACGUGCUACAAUGGCAUAUACAAAGAGAAGCGACCUCGCGAGAGCAAGCGGACCUCAUAAAGUAUGUCGUAGUCCGGAUUGGAGUCUGCAACUCGACUCCAUGAAGUCGGAAUCGCUAGUAAUCGUAGAUCAGAAUGCUACGGUGAAUACGUUCCCGGGCCU